CAGAAAAUAGAAGACCAACCAUAAGUUGAACCAAUAUAAGGCAUUUGAACAUAAGAACAAAGGUUACAUGAAAGGAGGCAAACUAUCAAGACAAAACACAACAUAAAUGGACAAAGAUAUUGCAUGAUUCAUAUUGUAGUAUUCCCAUUUAAAUAUGUAUGAGGCUCUCACAAUCCAAUAAAAGCAACACAUAAAUUGCAUCAGCAUGUAAUAAAAGGUUCAGGAACUUAUCAAACAAGAAUAUGAAAACAGUAAUCGACAAAAUCCAAACAAACCUGAGAAAAUGGUCAGCAAACACUUUAUAGUCUUGACCCCUUUAUAAUUUUGUCAUUCAACAAACAAAUAAAAGCUUACAUGAUUAUCUCUAGAGUAAAUUACACGAAUAGUCCCUAUGGUUUAGGGUAAUUUGAGCGUUUGGUCCCUAACUUAUUUUUUUAACUCGGAAGAUCCCUAUUGUUUGUUUUUGUUACACGCUUGGUCCCUGUCUUACCUAAAAAUACUAUUUUUCCCUUGAUUUUUUGAUUUAUUUAAAUAAACACACCCCCAAUCCCACCGUCCUCACCUUACCUUACCUACCUCACCAUUUUUUCCUACUUAAAUAAUAGUCUUUUUACGUAAGAUAGGGAUCAAACGUGUAACAAAAAUAAAUAGUAGAGACCAAGCGCGUAACAAAAACAAACAAUAGGGACCUUCCGAGUUAAAAAAAUUAGUUAGGGACCAAACGUGCAAAUUACUCCAAACCAUAGGGACCAUUCGUGUAAUUUACUCUUAUCUCUAUUUAUUUGCCUGCAAUUCAACAGAUCGAAAAGCUAAUCUGAAUGUAAACAUAACAAUAGAAACUAUUUAUUUGUAUAUAACAUUAAAAUUCCCAAUACAACAAUAAGCCAAGAAAAAACCAACAUCAGGAGAAUGUGAACAAUCCAUACCUGAAACAACUUGAAAAAAAAGGCAUGUGAGUGAUAAAAUCCAACAUAUAACAGGGCUAAUCUCACCCCGGUUCCUUUUCUGUCCCAGAAAGAAAUUAAGAUACUAAAUCUAAUUCUCAAUUUGCUCCCUGAAAAAAUUAACAAAACAAAUAAUAAGAAUUUUUAUUUUCAAUGGAGUUAGGGCUUACACUUGAAUAUGAGGGGAAACAGAGGAAAUCAUUUGGCAACAAAAGGAGAGUUUCAGGGUGUGGAGACAUGUUCUCAUUAUCACCCGAUUCUUUGAUCAUCGUGUUCAACUUUAGAAUUGGAGUAGAUGAAUCAUCUCCCAAAUGUUCUUACACAGAAACAAAUUGAAAGCAAAUAAAACACAAAUAGUUAGGCAAACUAAUAGAAAAGGAAAGAGAACUAAGAGGUUGAAGCAGACUAUCGUACACAUUCUUUGAAUGAGAGGAAGGCAUAGUCAAAAAUACAAAAAGAAGAUGAAGUAGAGGAACUUGAAAAAUCAAAAACUAAAAAGAAACUUGAAAUCGACAACAACAAAGUUAUAUAUAUAUAUAUAUANNNNNNNNNNNNNNNNNNNNNNNNNNNNNNNNNNNNNNNNNNNNNNNNNNNNNNNGAGAGAGAGAGAGAGAGAACAUGGGUGAUGAGGGCGGCAAAUUUGUGGUGGUAAGCUGCUUGUGUGAUGGACGUUGGUAAACCUGCAAGUCUGCAACGAUUACAAAAUAUAAUCUUGUUAACUUGCACAUGAAAACAGAUGCAACUGACAACGGCUAGAGAAGGCAGAUUUGACAAUUGACAAUGGCUAUGUUUUGUGGUCUAGGUUUUUCACAUAUGUAAGGUUGAAUAAGGAUCAGCAUUUGAGUGAGUACAUGACAAUUAAUGGAGGAAGGGAUGUUCGAUGACCUUCUAUAGGUUGCAGCUACGGCGGAAGGAGGGUGGUGGUAUCGAAGGUCCAUUGGAAACUGAAGUGAGUAAGGAGAGAGAUAGAAGAGAUGUGGGUUUGACGGCGUCUAAUGUUGUGUCGAUAAGGUUAGGAUUAAGAUAGGGUAAAGAUACCAUGAGUUACAAGGUAUGAUCAUGUUGUAAUAGAGGAAAUAUGUUUAAUAAUAUAGUAAAGAUUUUUCAUGACUUUAUCAUCUUUGUAGAGCAAGAUAUGCUUUCAAUACUUGUAAAAUAAUUUUCUGGAAUAAAUUUUUUCUAGCACCUUAUUAGUUGUUUUGAAUUAUUCUUCGUUUCAUAUAUCUCAGUCUUAUUAUUUAAAUUUAUUUAUCCUACUUUAUAUCUUUUUAUUGUGCG
rnacentral:lncRNA from 1 species